rnacentral:rRNA from 1 species
UACGUAGGGUGCGAGCGUUAAUCGGAAUUACUGGGCGUAAAGCGUGCGCAGGCGGUUCUGUAAGACCGAUGUGAAAUCCCCGGGCUUAACCUGGGAACUGCAUUGGUGACUGCAGGGCUAGAGUGUGUCAGAGGGAGGUGGAAUUCCGCGUGUAGCAGUGAAAUGCGUAGAUAUCCGGAGGAACACCGGUGGCGAAGGCGGCUUCCUGGACCGACACUGACGCUGAGGCGCGAAAGCUAGGGGAGCAAACGG